rnacentral:rRNA from 1 species
ACUCCUACGGGAGGCAGCAGUGGGGAAUAUUGCACAAUGGGAAGGCCAUCGAUGCAGCCAUGCCGCGCUGUGUGAAGAAGGCCAAUUCGGGCUUGGUUAAGACACUUUCAGUAGGGAGGAAGGUAGUGUAGUUAACACCUGCAUUAUUUGACGUUACCUACAGAAGAAGCACCGGCUAACUCCGUGCCAGCAGCCGCGGUAAUACGGAGGAUCCAAGCGUUAUCCGGAAUCAUUGGGUUUAAAGGGUCCGUAGGUGGAUUGGUAAGUCAGAGGUGAAAGCCUGCAGCUCAACUGUAGAACUGCCUUUGAUACUGCUAGUCUUGAGUCGUUGUGAAGUGGUUAGAAUAUGUAGUGUAGCGGUGAAAUGCAUAGAUAUUACAUAGAAUACCAAUUGCGAAGGCAGAUCACUAACAACGUACUGACACUGAUGGACGAAAGCGUGGGGAGCGAACAGGAUUAGAUACCCUGGUAGGCUC